UUGCUACCAGCCCGCAAGGAAAACGACCCGUCCUGCCAGCACAGACGCGCGCACAGGCUUCUCAGGCCACAACCUAGGCCUGGGCCACCAAUCUACUCUCCCACCUGGGCCAAAUCAUGGUCCGACGGAUCUCAGCCGUUCAACUCGAUCUGAUGGUCGAGCGGCGAUUUGGGAGAGACCAAAACACCAUGCUACCGGUUCCCCAAAACCCUAGCUCAUUCUUCUCUUCUCA
rnacentral:lncRNA from 1 species